UACGUAGGGUGCGAGCGUUGUCCGGAAUUAUUGGGCGUAAAGGGCUCGUAGGCGGUCUGUCACGUCGGGAGUGAAAACACGGGGCUUAACCCCGUGCCUGCUUCCGAUACGGGCAGACUAGAGGUAUGCAGGGGAGAACGGAAUUCCUGGUGUAGCGGUGAAAUGCGCAGAUAUCAGGAGGAAUACCGAUGGCGAAGGCAGGUCUCUGGGCUGACACUGACGCUCAUGCACGAAAGCGUGGGGAGCAAACAGG
rnacentral:rRNA from 1 species